rnacentral:rRNA from 1 species
AGUCGUAACAAGGUUUCCGUAGGUGAACCUGCGGAAGGAUCAUUAGUGAAUCUAGGACGUCCAACUUAACUUGGAGUCCGAACUCUCACUUUCUAACCCUGUGCAUCUGUUUUAAAAUUGGCUAGUAGCUCUUCGGAGCGAACCACCAUUUUUCACUUAUACAAACACAAAGUCUAUGAAUGUAAACAAAUUUAUAACAAAACAAAACUUUCAACAACGGAUCUCUUGGCUCUCGCAUCGAUGAAGAACGCAGCGAAAUGCGAUACGUAAUGUGAAUUGCAGAAUUCAGUGAAUCAUCGAAUCUUUGAACGCACCUUGCGCUCCUUGGUAUUCCGAGGAGCAUGCCUGUUUGAGUGUCAUGAAAUCUUCAACCCACCUCUUUCUUAGUGAAUCUGGUGGUGCUUGGUUUCUGAGCGCUGCUCUGCUUCGGCUUAGCUCGUUCGUAAUGCAUUAGCAUCCGCAACCGAAACUUCGGAUUGACUUGGCGUAAUAGACUAUUCGCUGAGGAUUCCAGACUUGUUCUGGAGCCGAGUUGGGUUAAAGGAAGCUUCUAAUCCUAAAGUCUAUUUUUUGAUUAGAUCUCAAAUCAGGUAGGACUACCCGCUGAACUUAAGCAUAUCAAUAAAAAGUCG